rnacentral:rRNA from 1 species
AUACGGAGGGGGCUAGCGUUGUUCGGAAUCACUGGGCGUAAAGCGCGCGUAGGUGGACUAAUCAGUUGAGGGUGAAAUCCCGGGGCUCAACCUCGGAACUGCCUUCAAUACUGUUAGUCUUGAGACCGAGAGAGGUGAGUGGAAUUCCUAGUGUAGAGGUGAAGUUCGUAGAUAUUAGGAAGAACACCAGUGGCGAAGGCGGCUCACUGGCUCGGUACUGACGCUGAGGUGCGAAAGCGUGGGGAGCAAACAGGAUUAGAAACCCCAGUAGUCC